rnacentral:rRNA from 1 species
GUGUUGAGAAGCAUGCUGGACGUAUCACAAGUGCGAAUGCUGACAUAAGUAACGAUAAAACGGGUGAAAAACCCGUUCGCCGGAAGACCAAGGGUUCCUGUCCAACGUUAAUCGGGGCAGGGUGAGUCGGCCCCUAAGGCGAGGCUGAAGAGCGUAGUCGAUGGGAAACAGGUUAAUAUUCCUGUACUUGGUAAAGCUGCGAUGUGGGGACGGAGUAGGUUAGGUUAUCGCACUGUUGGAUAUGUGCGUUUAAGUUGGUAGGUGGGAAGUUUAGGCAAAUCCGGACUUCCUUAACACUGAGGGAUGAUGACGAGGCUCUAAGGAGCUGAAGUAACCGAUACCACACUUCCAGGAAAAGCCACUAAGCGACAGGCUUUACUAAACCGUACUGAAAACCGACACAGGUGGUCAGGUAGAGAAUACUCAGGCGCUUGAGAGAACUCGGGUGAAGGAACUAGGCAAAAUAGCACCGUAACUUCGGGAGAAGGUGCGCCGGCGUAGAUUGUAAGGGCUAGCCCCUGAAGGUUGAACCGGUCGAAGAUACCAGCUGGCUGCAACUGUUUAUUAAAAACACAGCACUCUGCAAACACGAAAGUGGACGUAUAGGGUGUGAUGCCUGCCCGGUGCUGGAAGGUUAAUUGAUGGUGUAAUCGAAAGAGAAGCUCCUGAUCGAAGCCCCAGUAAACGGCGGCCGUAACUAUAACGGUCCUAAGGUAGCGAAAUUCCUUGUCGGGUAAGUUCCGACCUGCACGAAUGGCAUAAUGAUGGCCAGGCUGUCUCCACCCGAGACUCAGUGAAAUUGAAAUCGCCGUGAAGAUGCGGUGUACCCGCGGCUAGACGGAAAGACCCCGUGAACCUUUACUAUAGCUUGACACUGAACAUUGAAUUUUGAUGUGUAGGAUAGGUGGGAGACUUAGAAGUAGUCACGCCAGUGAUUAUGGAGUCAUCCUUGAAAUACCACCCUUUAACGUUUGAUGUUCUAACGAAGAUUGCGGAACGCGGUCUCGGACAGUGUCUGGUGGGUAGUUUGACUGGGGCGGUCUCCUCCCAAAGCGUAACGGAGGAGCACGAAGGUUUGCUAAUCACGGUCGGACAUCGUGAGGUUAGUGCAAUGGUAUAAGCAAGCUUAACUGCGAGACAGACAAGUCGAGCAGGUACGAAAGUAGGUCAUAGUGAUCCGGUGGUUCUGAAUGGAAGGGCCAUCGCUCAACGGAUAAAAGGUACUCCGGGGAUAACAGGCUGAUACCGCCCAAGAGUUCAUAUCGACGGCGGUGUUUGGCACCUCGAUGUCGGCUCAUCACAUCCUGGGGCUGAAGUAGGUCCCAAGGGUAUGGCUGUUCGCCAUUUAAAGUGGUACGCGAGCUGGGUUUAGAACGUCGUGAGACAGUUCGGUCCCUAUCUGCCGUGGGCGUUGGAGAAUUGGUUGGGGCUGCUCCUAGUACGAGAGGACCGGAGUGGACGCACCACUGGUGUUCCGGUUGUGUCGCCAGACGCAUUGCCGGGUAGCUAAGUGCGGAAGAGAUAAGUGCUGAAAGCAUCUAAGCACGAAACUUGCCAAGAGAUGAGUUCUCCCAGAUUUAAAAUCUGUAAGGGUUGUUUAAGACUAAGACGUAGAUAGGUCUGGUGUGUAAGUGAUGUGAGUCAUUGAGCUAACAGAUACUAAUUGCCCGAGA